AGUGAACGCUGGCGGUAGGCCUAACACAUGCAAGUCGAACGGCAGCACAGUAAGAGCUUGCUCUUACGGGUGGCGAGUGGCGGACGGGUGAGGAAUACAUCGGAAUCUACUUUUUCGUGGGGGAUAACGUAGGGAAACGUACGCUAAUACCGCAUACGACCUACGGGUGAAAGCAGGGGAUCUUCGGACCUUGCGCGAUUGAAUGAGCCGAUGUCGGAUUAGCUAGUUGGCGGGGUAAAGGCCCACCAAGGCGACGAUCCGUAGCUGGUCUGAGAGGAUGAUCAGCCACACUGGAACUGAGACACGGACCAGACUCCUACGGGAGGCAGCAGUGGGGAAUAUUGGACAAUGGGCGCAAGCCUGAUCCAGCCAUACCGCGUGGGUGAAGAAGGCCUUCGGGUUGUAAAGCCCUUUUGUUGGGAAAGAAAAGCAGCAGGUUAAUACCCCGCUGUUCUGACGGUACCCAAAGAAUAAGCACCGGCUAACUUCGUG
rnacentral:rRNA from 1 species